rnacentral:snRNA from 1 species
UUGCUUCAGCAGCACAUAUACUAAAAUUGCAAUAAUACAGAGUAGAUUAGCAUGGCUUCUGCACAAGGAUGACACACAAAUUUGUGAAACAUUCAAUAUUUUU